GUUCAGAGAACGGGGUUUGAAACCUUCUCUUUCUCUCUCUAUGGUUUUGAGGUAUUUUUGAGUAAGAAAGUAAGAUUUGAGCUAGUUUCUUUCCUCUCUCUUGUUGCUAGCUGGGUUGGUGACUUGUGGAGCUGCUUUUGGAGGUGUGGGAAGACUUGUUUAGCUGUGUUUCGCAGCUCUAACUCAGUAGGGAACUGAAUUGAAGCUUUGUGAGCAGGUUCGCAGCAGGCUUGGGUGAAGCAUUAUGGCUGAGUUUGGUGACUAUUGUAGGUUGGUUUGGAUGUGCUCCAAUCUGAAUUGAAGUGGAAUUUAAGUUCGGGAUUCUAUACUAGGGUGCUUGGAAGCCAGCGGAUACCUUCGCUCGCGGGAUCGACAAAGUUGACAGCAAUUUGGUGGGUUUGACCUUUCCGAAAUGGGUGAAUUC